GGCGAGGUGGCCGACUGGUUAAGGCGAUGGACUGCUAAUCCAUCGGGCUCUACCCGCGUGGGUUCGAGUCCCACCCUCGUCG
rnacentral:tRNA from 1 species